rnacentral:tRNA from 1 species
GCGUCUGUAGCCUAGUUGGUAAAGGCAGCACUCUAGUAAUCUGAGGUCGUGAGUUCAAAUCUCACCAGACACA